GAUGAACGCUGGCGGCGUGCCUAAUACAUGCAAGUCGAGCGAACGGACGAGAAGCUUGCUCCUCUGACGUUAGCGGCGGACGGGUGAGUAACACGUGGAUAACCUACCUAUAAGACUGGGAUAACUUCGGGAAACCGGAGCUAAUACCGGAUGAUAUAUUGAACCGCAUGGUUCAAUAGUGAAAGACGGUCUUGCUGUCACUUAUAGAUGGAUCCGCGCUGCAUUAGCUAGUUGGUAAGGUAACGGCUUACCAAGGCAACGAUGCAUAGCCGACCUGAGAGGGUGAUCGGCCACACUGGAACUGAGACACGGUCCAGACUCCUACGGGAGGCAGCAGUAGGGAAUCUUCCGCAAUGGGCGAAAGCCUGACGGAGCAACGCCGCGUGAGUGAUGAAGGUCUUCGGAUCGUAAAACUCUGUUAUUAGGGAAGAACAUAUGUGUAAGUAACUGUGCACAUCUUGACGGUACCUAAUCAGAAAGCCACGGCUAACUACGUG
rnacentral:rRNA from 1 species